UAGGGAAUCUUCGGCAAUGGGGGGAACCCUGACCGAGCAACGCCGCGUGAGUGAAGAAGGUUUUCGGAUCGUAAAGCUCUGUUGUUAAGGAAGAACGAGUGUGAGAAUGGAAAGUUCACACUGUGACGGUACUUAACCAGAAAGGGACGGCUAACUACGUGCCAGCAGCCGCGGUAAUACGUAGGUCCCGAGCGUUGUCCGGAUUUAUUGGGCGUAAAGCGAGCGCAGGCGGUUAGAUAAGUCUGAAGUUAAAGGCAGUGGCUCAACCAUUGUAGGCUUUGGAAACUGUUUAACUUGAGUGCAGAUGGGGAGAGUGGAAUUCCAUGUGUAGCGGUGAAAUGCGUAGAUAUAUGGAGGAACACCGGUGGCGAAAGCGGCUCUCUGGUCUGUAACUGACGCUGAGGCUCGAAAGCGUGGGGAGCGAACAGG
rnacentral:rRNA from 1 species